rnacentral:rRNA from 1 species
UACGGAGGGGGCAAGCGUUGUUCGGAAUCAUUGGGCGUAAAGGGCGCGUAGGCGGCCAUGCGUGUCUUCCGUGAAAUCCCUCGGCUUAACUGAGGACGUGCGGAAGAAACUGCAAGGCUCGAGUCCGGGAGAGGGGGGUGGAAUUCCCAGUGUAGCGGUGAAAUGCGUAGAUAUUGGGAGGAACACCGGUGGCGAAGGCGGCCCCCUGGACCGGUACUGACGCUGAGGCGCGAAAGCGUGGGUAGCAAACGGG